AGAGUUUGAUCAUGGCUCAGGGUGAACGCUGGCGGCGUGCUUGACACAUGCAAGUCGAACGGUAUGUGGCAACACAUAGAGUGGCGAACGGGUGAGUAACACGUGGGAACGUAUCUUUUGCAGGGGGAUAACUGACCGAAAGGACAGCUAAUACCGCAUAAGUCCGAGAGGAGAAAGGUGCAACAGCAUCGGCAGAAGAGCGGCCCGCGGUCCAUCAGCUAGUUGGUGAGGUAAGGGCUUACCAAGGCGACGACGGAUAGCCGGCGUGAGAGCGUGGCCGGCCACAAGGACACUGAGAUACGGGUCCUACUCCUACGGGAGGCAGCAGUGCGGAAUUUUAGAUAAUGGAGGGAACUCUGAUCUAGCGACGCCGCGUGCAGGAAGAAGGUCUUCGGAUUGUAAACUGCUGUGGUAAGGGAAAAAUGCUAUGUAGAGUGGAAAGCUACAUAGAGGGAUGGUACCUUACUAGAAAGCCCCGGCUAACUACGUGCCAGCAGCCGCGGUAAUACGUAGGGGGCGAGCGUUACCCGGAAUCACUGGGCGUAAAGGGAGCGUAGGUGGCCUAACAUGUCAACUGUGAAAACCCGGAGCUCAACUCCGGACUUGCAGUUGAAACUGGUAGGCUUGAGGACGGUAGAGGAAGACGGAACUGCCAGUGUAGGGGUAAAAUCCUUAGAUAUUGGCAGGAACGCCGGUGACGAAGGUGGUUUUCUGGGCCGGUUCUGACACUGAUGCUCGAAAGCCAGGGGAGCGAACGGGAUUAGAUACCCCGGUAGU
rnacentral:rRNA from 1 species